rnacentral:rRNA from 1 species
GAUGAACGCUGGCGGCGCGCCUAACACAUGCAAGUCGAACGGAGCGAUAGAGCGGAAGUUUUCGGAUGGAAGCUGUAUAGCUUAGUGGCGGACGGGUGAGUAACGCGUGAGCAACCUGCCUUUCAGAGGGGGAUAACGAUUGGAAACGAUCGCUAAUACCGCAUAACGUCCGGAUGGGACAUCCUGUCUGGACCAAAGGAGAAAUCCGCUGAGAGAUGGGCUCGCGUCCAAUUAGCUGGUUGGCGGGGUAAAGGCCCACCAAGGCGACGAUUGGUAGCCGGACUGAGAGGUUGAACGGCCACAUUGGGACUGAGACACGGCCCAG